rnacentral:rRNA from 1 species
AACGAACGCUGGCGGCGUGCCUAACACAUGCAAGUCGAGCGCGAAAAGGGCAACCUGAGUAGAGCGGCGCACGGGUGCGUAACACGUGGGUAAUCUGCCUUAGAGUCGAGGAUAACCUUCCGAAAGGUUGGCUAAUACUCGGUAAGCUUACGGUGUCUUCGGACGCUGUGGGAAAAGUAGGCCUCUGUUUACAAGCUUACGCUCUGAGAUGAGCCCGCGGCCCAUCAGCUAGUUGGCGGUGUAACGGACCACCAAGGCAACGACGGGUAGCUGGUCUGAGAGGACGAUCAGCCACACUGGAACUGAGACACGGUCCAGACUCCUACGGGAGGCAGCAGUGGGGAAUUUUCCACAAUGGGCGAAAGCCUGAUGGAGCAACGCCGCGUGUGUGAUGAAGGUUUUCGGAUCGUAAAGCACUUUCGACUGGGACGAAAAACCUUUGGCUAACAUCCAGGGGCCUGACGGUACCAGGAGAAGAAGCACCGGCUAACUCUGUGCCAGCAGCCGCCGUAA